GACGAACGCUGGCGGCGUGCCUAAUACAUGCAAGUCGAGCGGAUUGAUGGGAGCUUGCUCCCAUCAGUCAGCGGCGGACGGGUGAGUAACACGUGGGUAACCUGCCUGUAAGACUGGGAUAACUCCGGGAAACCGGGGCUAAUACCGGAUAACUCAUUUCCUCGCAUGAGGAAAUGUUGAAAGGUGGCUUUUAGCUAUCACUUACAGAUGGACCCGCGGCGCAUUAGCUAGUUGGUGAGGUAAUGGCUCACCAAGGCGACGAUGCGUAGCCGACCUGAGAGGGUGAUCGGCCACACUGGGACUGAGACACGGCCCAGACUCCUACGGGAGGCUG
rnacentral:rRNA from 1 species